rfam:Rattus norvegicus chromosome 15, whole genome shotgun sequence.
UAGGGAGGUGAGGGCCAGGAGCCUCCCCCUGAGCCCAGGAUAACUCUUGAAGUUGGGGGGCA